AUUGAACGCUAGCGGCAUGCUUUACACAUGCAAGUCGAACGAGUGGCGGACGGGUGAGUAAUAUAUCGGAACGUGCCCAGUAGCGGGGGAUAACUACUCGAAAGAGUGGCUAAUACCGCAUACUAUUUGAGCGGCCGAUAUUGGAUUAGCUAGUUGGUGGGGUAAAGGCUCACCAAGGCAACGAUCCGUAGCUGGUUUGAGCGGACUACUAGCCACACUGGUACUGAGACACGGGCCAGACUCCUACGGGAGGCAGCAGUGGGGAAUUUGGGGCAAGUGGGGGAACCCUGUUGCAGCCAUCCCGCGUGUAUGAGAAGGCCCUGGGGUUGUAAAGUACUUUCAGUGGGGAGGCGUUACCGACAGAAGAAGCACCGGCUAACUCCGUGCCAGCCGCCGCGGUAAUUC
rnacentral:rRNA from 1 species